GACGGAGGAUGCAAGUGUUAUCCGGAAUCACUGGGCGUAAAGCGUCUGUAGGUGGUCAAAUAAGUCAACUGUUAAAUCUUGAGGCUCAACCUCAAAAUCGCAGUCGAAACUAUUAGACUAGAGUAUAGUAGGGGUAAAGGGAAUUUCCAGUGGAGCGGUGAAAUGCGUAGAGAUUGGAAGGAACACCGAUGGCGAAGGCACUUUACUGGGCUAUUACUAACACUCAGAGACGAAAGCUAGGGUAGCAAAUGGG
rnacentral:rRNA from 1 species